GCAUAAUGGCGUCGCCCCAGCCAUGUCGUUCAACUUCAAUUUGGCUUCCUGAAUUUUUAUCGAAAAAGAAUAUUCUUACAUAUUCUCUUAAAUAGCCAAUGAAGUAACAUGCUGUGCUUGAGAAGAAAAGUGACGUCAUUUUUGUCCGCCAUAUUGGCAUCACCCACACUUGCAGCCGUUGCAGCUCCGCACAGGGCGUCCUGAAUUUUCAUCGAAAAAGCUUAUGUUUCAAAAAAACAAUUCAAUUGUGUUGAAUUGUGUAAAGAGGAAAAAGACAAAUCGUAAAAAAAAAAAAAAUUCGCAGUGGUGUGGCCACCGAAUUCAUGAAUAUUAGUUUUAAAAAAAGGUACAUUUUCAAACAUCGAAAUUACAAAAAGCGGAUAACAAGAUAGCAAAAGGGAAUCAUCGUGAUGGCCCUCUUCUUUGUCAAAAGUAAAGGAUCGUCAUCAUCAAAGAUGCAGAAUCUUACGCUCCUUGAAGUUUGUCCCAGGAAAAUGCUGCACUGCUGUCCCAUCAACGUUUGACUCCACGAUCGAUUCUAUCAUCGAUGAAUUGUGGUGUUACAUUCUUCAAAGAUAAGGGCAAAAGUAAAAAAGGACACAGGAUCAGUUUCAGACUUUUUAGAACUCGGUCUAUUUUUACGGUUAUUUUUCACAUUUUCCGAAUGGAAAUUUAACUUGAAAGUAGGGAUCUCCGAGGUCUAUUUAGUUUAAAAGAAAUAUCUUCUUGAAGCGCGCUGAAACUUUGUUAUUAAGAUGUUUUGGAAUUCCUUCUCAAUUGCAUGGAGCCUUUUGGUACAUGACAUAUGGGAAAAAUUUUCGAGUUGCAUCGAGAUCAUCAAUCGUUAAUGGAGACAUAUAACUGGAAGUUAUGGAGAUCUUUGGAAAAGAGAUGUUCCGGAAAAGACAAUGCGACCUAUCGACGUGGGAUAUUUAUCAAUCGUUCUACAAUAUUUUGAAGAAUGGAACUGCGGCAGCUGAAUACGAGAUCUUCGACAAAUGGACCAAAAGAGGCUGUGAUAUAUACUUGGAUUCGCGAACGUGCCCAAACCUUGAAGGACGUGGACGAAGAAAAGUGGUCCCAGCAUACUGCCGUAUAUUUUUUUUUGUAAUUUUUUUUUUUAAAUACGGUAUAGUUGUGGCUCCCGAUCUCCGCAGAAGUGCAAUCAAGAGGGAGGGAUCUUCGGGAGUGGCCCAGAAAAUGCAAUGCAAUCGACGUGGGAU